UACGGAGGGUGCAAACGUUGCUCGGAAUCAUUGGGCGUAAAGCGCACGUAGGCGGUUCGGCAAGUCGGAUGUGAAAGCCCUCGGCUUAACCGAGGAAGUGCAUUCGAAACUACCGAGCUAGAGUACCGGAGAGGGUGACGGAAUUCCCGGUGUAGAGGUGAAAUUCGUAGAUAUCGGGAGGAACACCAGCGGCGAAGGCGGUCACCUGGACGGAUACUGACGCUGAGGUGCGAAAGCGUGGGGAGCAAACAGG
rnacentral:rRNA from 1 species